rnacentral:rRNA from 1 species
CCUACGGGUGGCAGCAGUCGAGAAUCAUUCACAAUGGGGGAAACCCUGAUGGUGCGACGCCGCGUGGGGGAAUGAAGGUCUUCGGAUUGUAAACCCCUGUCAUGUGGGAGCAAAUUAAAAAGAUAGUACCACAAGAGGAAGAGACGGCUAACUCUGUGCCAGCAGCCGCGGUAAUACAGAGGUCUCAAGCGUUGUUCGGAAUCACUGGGCGUAAAGGGUGCGUAGGCGGUUUCGUAAGUCGUGAGUGAAAGGCGCGGGCUCAACCCGCGGACGGCACAUGAUACUGCGAGACUAGAGUAAUGGAGGGGGAACCGGAAUUCGCGGUGUAGCAGUGAAAUGCGUAGAUAUCGAGAGGAACACUCGUGGCGAAGGCGGGUUCCUGGACAUUAACUGACGCUGAGGCACGAAGGCCAAGGGAGCGAAAGGGAUUAGAUACCCGAGUAGUC